UACGAAGGGGGCUAGCGUUGCUCGGAAUCACUGGGCGUAAAGCGCACGUAGGCGGAUCUUUAAGUCAGGGGUGAAAUCCUGGAGCUCAACUCCAGAACUGCCUUUGAUACUGGGGAUCUCGAGUCCGGGAGAGGUGAGUGGAACUGCGAGUGUAGAGGUGAAAUUCGUAGAUAUUCGCAAGAACACCACUGGCGAAGGCGGCUCACUGGCCCGGUACUGACGCUGAGGUGCGAAAGCGUGGGGAGCAAACAGG
rnacentral:rRNA from 1 species